rnacentral:rRNA from 1 species
AUUGAACGCUGGCGGCAGGCCUAACACAUGCAAGUCGAGCGAGCGGCUGACUGUUUCUUAAUGUAUUCGGACUCCCCGAUAGCGGGGGAUAACUACUGGAAACGGUGGCUACUACCGCAUACUAUCGGAUAACCCAUAUGGGAUUAGCUAGUAGGUAAGGUAAUGGCUUACCUAGGCGACGAUCCCUAGCUGGUCUGAGAGGAUGAUCAGCCAAACUGGGACUGAGACACGGCCCAGACUCCUACGGAGGCAGCAGUGGGGAAUAUUGCACAAGGGGCGCAAGCCGGAUGAAGCCAUGCCGCGUGUAUGAAGAAGGCGAUAGGGUUGUAAAGUACGGUCAGUGGGGAGGCGUUACCGGCAGAAGAAGCACCGGCUAACUCAGUGCAAGCAGCCGCGGUAAUAC